CCUACGGGGUGCAGCAGUGAGGAAUAUUGGUCAAUGGACGAGAGUCUGAACCAGCCAAGUAGCGUGAAGGAUGACUGCCCUAUGGGUUGUAAACUUCUUUUAUAAAGGAAUAAAACGAGGCACGUGUGCCUUUUUGCAUGUACUUUAUGAAUAAGGAUCGGCUAACUCCGUGCCAGCAGCCGCGGUAAUACGGAGGAUCCGAGCGUUAUCCGGAUUUAUUGGGUUUAAAGGGAGCGUAGAUGGGUUGGUAAGUCAGUUGUGAAAGUUUGCGGCUCAACCGUAAAAUUGCAAUUGAUACUGGCAGACUUGAGUACAGGUGAGGUAGGCGGAAUUCGUGGUGUAGCGGUGAAAUGCUUAGAUAUCACGAAGAACCCCGAUUGCGAAGGCAGCUUACUAAACAGUGACUGACAUUGAUGCUCGAAGGUGUGGGUAUCGAAAGGGAUUAGAUACCCUAGUAGUC
rnacentral:rRNA from 1 species